rnacentral:piRNA from 1 species
UUAUGAUAAAACGUCGCAAAA